rnacentral:ncRNA from 1 species
GUCUUUGGGGCGGGGUGAAAUUCCCCACCGGCGGUAUAGCCCGCGAGCCCGUAACAGGGUUGAACCGGUGAAAUUCCGGUGCCGACAGUAUAGUCUGGAUGGAAAAAGGC